GAUGAACGCUGGCGGCGUGCCUAACACAUGCAAGUCGAACGAAGCACCUUACCUGAUUCUUCGGAUGAAAGUUUGGUGACUGAGUGGCGGACGGGUAAGUAACGCGUGGGUAACCUGCCCUGUACAGGGGGAUAACAGCUGGAAACGGCUGCUAAUACCGCAUAAGCGCACGAGGAGACAUCUCCUUGUGUGAAAAACUCCGGUGGUACAGGAUGGGCCCGCGUCUGAUUAGCUGGUUGGCAGGGUAACGGCCUACCAAGGCAACGAUCAGUAGCCGGUAUGAGAGGAUGAACGGCCACAUUGGAACUGAGACACGGUCCAAACUCCUACGGGAGGCAGCAGUGGGGAAUAUUGCACAAUGGGGGAAACCCUGAUGCAGCAACGCCGCGUGAGUGAAGAAGUAUUUCGGUAUGUAAAGCUCUAUCAGCAGGGAAGAUAAUGACGGUACCUGACUAAGAAGCUCCGGCUAAAUACGUG
rnacentral:rRNA from 1 species